CACGCACGCACACGCACACGCACACGCCGGGACCAAUAAUCCUCCUGGUGGUGCAAAGCAUGCUGGGACAUCAGCAGGCGUCCGCGUGGCGUCGCCGGGCAGAAUGCGACCUCCUCUCUUCAGUCGUUCUCUUCGACGUGUUUUCCUUUCAGGGUUUUUCUGUCGCUCGUGAACGCCGACGGCUCCGUUGCCGUGGAGACGAGGGCGGAGCAGGAAGCCAUGACGACGGAGCCGUUCCCCACGCUGCACAUGAACCACACGAUGCACUGAAGCUCACGCGUCAAUACUCACUUCCUCUUGCUCCUCCUCUUCCUCCUCCUGCUCGUGGAUCUUAUGAAAUCCUCCCUGACCUCUGACCUUCAGUGGCUGCAGCUCCUCUGAGGUACGGCGUCCCAUGAGGGACAAACUUCAGCUCCAGACCUCCGUUCAGUCCAACGCCUCCUGUAGUAUACUUAUUGUACUUAUUAUACUGUAUUAUAUUUAUUAUACUUAUUAUAUUUAUUAUACUUAUUGUACUUAUUAUACUGUAUUAUAUUUAUUAUACUUAUUGUACUUAUUAUACUGUAUUAUAUUUAUGAUAUUUAUUAUGCUGUAUUAUAUUUAUUAUACUUAUUGUAUUUAUUAUACUGUAUUAUAUUUAUGAUAUUUAUUAUGCUGUAUUAUAUUUAUUAUACUGUAUUAUAUUUAUUAUACUUAUUGUAAUUAUUAUACUGUAUUAUAUUUAUGAUAUUUAUUCUGUAUUAUAUUUAUUAUACUUAUUGUAUUUAUUAUGCUUUAUUUACAUGAUGCAUCUGGUCAGAUUUAUAAAAAUAUAAAAAUACAUAAAUAUAAAAAGUUAUUUCCCCAGAAACAGUCAAAACAACGACGUCAGCAUAUUAAAUAUCAAUAAAAUGACACUGUAGUGUG